rnacentral:rRNA from 1 species
GGGUUGUGAGGUUAAGCGACUAAGCGUACACGGUGGAUGCCCUGGCAGUCAGAGGCGAUGAAGGACGUGCUAAUCUGCGAUAAGCGUCGGUGAGGUGAUAUGAACCGUUAUAACCGGCGAUUUCCGAAUGGGGAAACCCAGUGUGUUUCGACACACUAUCAUUAACUGAAUCCAUAGGUUAAUGAGGCGAACCGGGGGAACUGAAACAUCUAAGUACCCCGAGGAAAAGAAAUCAACCGAGAUUCCCCCAGUAGCGGCGAGCGAACGGGGAGGAGCCCAGAGCCUGAAUCAGUGUGUGUGUUAGUGGAAGCGUCUGGAAAGGCGCGCGAUACAGGGUGACAGCCCCGUACACAAAAAUGCACAUAUUGUGAGCUCGAUGAGUAGGGCGGGACACGUGGUAUCCUGUCUGAAUAUGGGGGGACCAUCCUCCAAGGCUAAAUACUCCUGACUGA